CCUACGGGUGGCUGCAGUAGGGAAUAUUGGACAAUGGGUGAGAGCCUGAUCCAGCCAUGCCGCGUGCAGGAAGACGGCCUUCUGGGUUGUAAACUGCUUUUAUCUGGGGAUAAAAAGGCCUUGCGAGGCCAACUGAAGGUACCAGAUGAAUAAGCCACGGCUAACUACGUGCCAGCAGCCGCGGUAAUACGUAGGUGGCAAGCGUUGUCCGGAUUUAUUGGGUUUAAAGGGUGCGUAGGCGGUUUAUUAAGUCAGUGGUGAAAGACGAUAGCUUA
rnacentral:rRNA from 1 species